GAGCGCGGCGGGGAUGGGAGGGGAGAGGAGGGGAGAGGGAGGGGCCGGGCUGGGCCGUGCUGCAGCCAAAGCAAAGCCCGCCCGGCUCCGGCGGGUCUGAAAUGAGCCCAAGCACAAGCGGGAGGCGCGAGGUUUCGCGGCUUCCUGCAGGGCAGCCUCACGCCCUGCACUAAAGCAGCAGAGUCCGUGCAGCCGCUGGGUUUGUCGCUCCCCCGGGCAGUAGGGAGAGGGGCAGGGUUAAGGCUCCACGGGCAGCACUCCCGUGUAGUACUGCCCGUGGGAUGCGUGGGGGUGUUUCUGUGUGGGGAGGUUGGAUUAAGGCAAUGGCAUGGUCCGAGCUUACAGAUGUGGCACAAGGCUGACCAAGCAGAAGCUGAAAGCAAUGCGAGUGCUUUCUGUUACUGUGGUGUGAGAGUCCUUGUCAGUCGGACUGUCAGUAUCAUGGCACAUCCACAGUCGCUCACGAGAAGGCUGUGAACAGGCUGAUUUUCUGCAGCCAAGUUUUCAUCUGAAUAAGGAAACGAGUUUGCCUGCGAAAGAAGCCUUUUUACUACAGCACAAUGUUCAUCACUCUAAAAGAAGAAGGUACAAGAGAUGAUCUCUCCAAACAAUGCCUUCCCUUAGGCAUGUAUCUGGGGGAAAAGACGGGAUAUGCAUCGCAUUUAAGCUAUGUAAGACUAGCAAACUAUCUGUACGCCUUCACAGACCGUGCUGCCAUGUCCGUGAGUCAUCCUUGCAACACCCUCCUUGCCAGAGGCCUCCUGAGAACUUUAUAGGUUUAUACCCCCGGCAGGAGCAGGAGCCCAGCUCCAGCAACUGUCCCAACCAUUGGUGGGAGGGAAAGCGCGUGGUUCACAUAGGGUAAAUGUGCAGUACUCCUUGUGCUUCAUGCAGGCUUGCAAGGUCAGAUUUAGCUAUUUAGAAGAGACUCCCCAUGUCUGCCUGUGAGAUUACAAAAUGAGAGAAGCUGCUAACUCUUCCACUUGGUGACAAACUACAUCACAACACAGCUCAUGCCUAUUUGCCAUAUGUGCAUUUUCAGCAAUGACAGGCAUGUGGAAAACUCCUAAGGAAACGUGGCCCAUGCAGACAUCCUUGCCUCUAGCCUCCUUCUCUCACUGCCUCCUCCUACUCAGCUACCUGUUGUGGUGCAACUUUUGAAAUGGCACCAUAUGUUAUGGAUGCAACCUCAUGUAUAUUCUCAGAAACAACAGCAUCUGGAAGACUGAAGUUUACUGAGCUUAUAUGGUAUCAUUUUGAUGGCUUCGUGGUAGUGAUAACCAUGUAAGUCCUCUCCAAUCCAGUUGCCAUUCAGCACUUUUUUUUCUCUCUCAUACUCUAGUCAGGCUAUAAAAGCCAAAGUUCUUCCCUCCCCACCAUCCUGCCCAGGACCAAGGGUAUAAUAAAACCGUAUCUAGUUAUUUAACACAAAAAGUAGAUCUAUCCAGCCUGUAUCAUCUGCGAUUUCAGAUGUUGUUUUUUCACAGCUCAGUUGAAGAAAAAAUGUUUCUUUCUCUCUAAGCCUUUGGAGAUGAAUAUUCUGUAGGUCUCUGUCCAUGGCAUGUUGGCACUGUGUGAUCGCGCUGCAUUAGGCAUACUUCUGUCCAGAUUUUCCCAGACAAAAUUCAAGAAGUGCCAAGCAGAGAGGUCCCAAACUGAAGUAUAUUCACAGCUUGGUACCAAGGGUUUGAACCUAUCAAUCAAGAGCAGUGGAAGUCCUAAAAAUCUUGUAGAAAGGCUUACUUUUUGUGGUUGUCCCUCAUUCUUUGAGCUGGUCCUACCACGAGUGUUAAUUCUCUGAAUCACCCUAAAGAAGAUACACUUGGUAUUUAGCUGCAGUUCUUCUAACCUCACAAAGUAGGACCUUCUUGAAGGACAGUACAUUAAGCAAGGACUUCCACUACCAAGAACUUGAAAAUGGUGCCAGCCAAAGGUAAUCUUUUAUGACUUUUGCAGGGAUAAUAAGAAGCCCAACACGCCCCAGUACCAAUUCUUCUGGGCCACUGCAGUCCUUACUGGCAACUUUCCAACAAACAACCUGUCUAAGAGCAGAACCAAGGUCUUUCGGAGAGGUACGCGAUACAUGUGGCGUGACUACAAAUGCAGUUCAGUUGAUUCACUACUAGUAUGGGUGCCUAACAAAAAUAAAUGAAUCUUAGUGUGACUCCACAUGAGUGGUGUUGACACA